rnacentral:lncRNA from 1 species
AAAAAAGGAAUAGAUUUUAUUUAGAAAAUGUAGAAAUUAACCCCAAAACUACCAGCCCUAGUUCGUCCUCCCUCCCUGUCUCCUCCCUGUCUCUCGACUCUCUCUCUCUCUCCCCUCUCGACUCCGCCGCCGGCGCCGCUGCCCCACGCCGGCCCGUCGCCGCCCACCCUCGCUGCUGCCCCGCGCCCUAGUUCUUCUCUGUUCGAUUGGUCGAGCCCUAGUUCUUCUAUGUUCGGUACAACGCAGCCGUCGCCAUCUCAGGGAGACCGGCGAGCUACGCGACCUAGAGCCCGCCCAUCGUUGCUGGUGGUCCGAGGAUCGGCGAGCCGAUGGUGUUCUACGGCCGGUUCUCUUCUCAACUCUACAUAAUCGAGGCAGGAAAGGGGGAAAGCCCUAAUUCUCCGAUUUGCAAUCGAGAGCGGAUGAGGUUGAUAAUUCUCCGACCUGAAGCCCUUCUCCCUCUCUCUACCUCCUCUCUGUGCCGCCUUUGUCUCCGGCAAGCAGCCGCUAGCCGCCACCUUCUCCAGCCUGGCGUCGCCCCCCAUCCCCAUCACCUCUCUUUCGCUUCCACCACCACGGUAUACUCUCUCUCUCUCCUAUUUUCUAUAUGUAUUUCUAUCUUUGCGUAAUUAAUUUUUGAAUUUGGGCAGAGCAACCUCCGUCGUCGGCUCAGCGCCCACCACCGCUCCAAUCGCACCACCACUGCCCCUGGCCUCUGACUCCGACAACAGUCG